ACAUUUAUGAUUUGUUGUGCAUAGAUACCAUUAGACUGCAAUUACAAGUAUUUCUCUUAUUCCUUACACAGCUGUGCAGUGUGACUUUCCAAGUUAUAUACCGAAGGUUUGCAGUAUUGGAGUUCAGUGUAAUAGAUAUCUUGAGGAAGUGAGAGAUAAUUCUAAACCAUGCAGAGUGAUAAGUAUGAGCACGGAUGAGUAAGAUGAUCUUUAUGUUCCCUCCAGUUAGGAUGAAAAUGAAGACAAAGACAACGACACAGACUACUGUCCAGAGUCAGCUGAAGAAUUUCUAUCCACUGAAAUUUCUUCAGAUGAUGGGUCUGACCAUGAUGAUAAUUCAUACAAAAAAAUGGACAGGAAAUACAUCGUAUCUGAGUCGCAAUCGAUACAGUUGUUUUCAAUCUGUCUAACUUGUACAUCUGCCACACUUUGCCAAGUAAGACCAGUUUCAGGCCCAAUGAUCAAGAUUGACCAGUGUUGUGGUAUAUGUGGAUUUCAAAGAACUUGGAACAGCCAAGAAAUGAUUGGAUCUUUACCGUCAUGGAAUUUAUCCAUGUCAGCAGCCAUAUUGUUUUAAGGCCUUAUACAAAGCAAAGCGCUUCGUUUCUUGGAACAUAUGAAUGUUGCUGCCAUAGCAUUAAGUACCUUCCACCAACACCAGAAAUACUAUCUCCAUCCAGCUGUUUCGACAAUAUGGAAGGAUUUUCAGAAUAAUUAUUUUAAUCAAAAGACCCAACAAGGAAAUCCCUUAAUUAUAGGUGGAGAUGGUAGAGCUGACACUACCUGGGCAUUCGGCUAAAUAUGGCAGGUAUGCUAUGCUAGACAUGGAUCUAAUGCUUGUCAUAGAUAUUCAACUUGUUCAGAGCAAUGAAGUUCAAGGAAGCUAUCAUAUGGAGAAGGAAGGAUUUAUACGCAGUAUUAAUAACAUUGAAAGCAAAGGCCUCAAAAUAGAGAAAAUUAUAACUGACCGACAUCUUCAGAUACAAAAACAUGUCAGAGAAAACAUGCCUCACACAACACAUAACUAUGAUGUGUGGCAUGUUGCUAAAGGUAUGAG